UACGUAGGGACCAAGCGUUGUUCGGAUUUGCUGGGCGUAAAGGGCGCGUAGGCGGCUUAACAAGUCACUUGUGAAAUCUCCGGGCUUAACUCGGAACGGCCAAGUGAAACUGUUAUGCUAGAGUGCAGAAGGGGCAAUCGGAAUUCUUGGUGUAGCGGUGAAAUGCGUAGAUAUCAGGAGGAACACCGGUGGUGUAGACGGCUUUCUGGACCGUAACUGACGCUGAGACACGAAAGCGUGGGUAGCAAACAGG
rnacentral:rRNA from 1 species